ACUUCGCGAUAGUUUUCUGGUGCUCGCGCGCGGUCUCUGCUGCGCGCAGUUAAACGGGAAGCAGGGAGCAUUGCCGCAACCCCGGCCGUGCCAACCUGCGCUGCCCCCGCAACGGUAAACGAAAAUCGAGCGAUGGGGUUUUAUCCCGGUUCACGCCGGGUUCACGCCACUUCGCACGGUAAAGCCGGCUUCGAAAAACCACUGCAUGGCUACAUCAUGCGGGAAGGUGGAGCGGCACUUUCGCCAGCCCGGAUACCGGCCGGAACGAGUCAACACCU
rnacentral:ncRNA from 1 species